rnacentral:rRNA from 1 species
GACGAACGCUGGCGGCGUGCUUAACACAUGCAAGUCGAACGGGAUUUAGUAGACAGAAGCCUCGGCUAAAGAUUACUAAUGAGAGUGGCGAACGGGUGAGUAACGCGUGAGCAACCUGCCUAUGACAGUGGGAUAGCCUCGGGAAACCGGGAUUAAUACCGCAUAAAAUCGUAGAAACACAUGUUUCAACGGUCAAAGAUUUAUCGGUCAUAGAUGGGCUCGCGUCUGAUUAGCUAGUUGGUGAGAUAACAGCCCACCAAGGCGACGAUCAGUAGCCGGUCUGAGAGGAUGAACGGCCACAUUGGAACUGAGACACGGUCCAAACUCCUACGGGAAGCAGCAGUGGGGAAUAUUGCACAAUGGGGGAAACCCUGAUGCAGCGACGCCGCGUGAACGAAGAAGGUAUUCGUAUCGUAAAGUUCUGUCCUAUGGGAAGAUAAUGACAGUACCAUAGAAGAAAGCUCCGGCUAAAUACGUG